rnacentral:misc_RNA from 1 species
UUUCCGUAGGUGAACCUGCGGAAGGAUCAUUAAUAAAUGGUCUACGUUUUUUAAGUAGACGCUUAAUAAUCCUACCCUUUGUGAAUUUGUUUGCUUUGAAAUAAUUUUUUUAAAAUUAUUGAAUGUCUUUCCCUGUUGAAUCGGUUGUCUUAAUGGCAAGUGAUUCGCAGGGGAGUGUCAAUAAUUUUUAAAAAGACCUUUUUUAAAUUAAACUUUUUGUAUUCAUUUGUCUAAAAUUAUUUUUAUAAUAUAAAAACAACUUUUGACAAUGGAUCUCUUGGUUCUCGCAACGAUGAAGAACGCAGCAAAAUGCGAUAAGUAGUGUGAAUUGCAGAAUACGUGAAUCAUCGAAUCUUCGAACGCAUAUUGCACUUUUUCAGUUUACUAAAAAGUAUGUCUGUUUGAGUAUCAGUAAAAUAUUCUCAUAAAAAACAUUGUUUUUUUUAUGGUUAUGAGUGUUUUACAACGAUACAAGUUGUUUCACUUUAAAUUUUUUUAAAAUUUGAAUUUUUCUAAUUUUAAAAUAAAAUUGGAUAAAAUUUUCCCGUAAAAAAGGAAUAACCUAACAAUUUUAGUUUUUUUGAUUAGAAUUUUUCAUUAUAAGGAAAAUUUAAUAAAUAACUUGAUCUCAAAUCAGAUAAGAGUACCGCUGAACUUAAGCAUAUCAAUAAGCGGAGGAAAAGAAACUAACAAGGAUUCCCUUAGUAACGGCGAGUGAAGCGGAAGAGCUCAAAUUUGAAAUCUUCAAGGUUUACCUUGACGAAUUGUAGUUUAAAGAAGUGUUUUCUGUUGAAGUUGGUAAAAGUUCUUGGAAUGGACAUCAUAGAGGUGAGAAUCCCGUAUUUGAUUAUUAUUUCAGCUGUGUGAUACACUUUCAAAGAGUCGGAUUGUUUGGAAUGCAGUCCAAAUGGGUGGUAAAUUUCAUCUAAAGCUAAAUAUUGGCGAGAGACCGAUAGCGAACAAGUACCGUGAGGGAAAGAUGAAAAGAACUUUGAAAAGAGAGUUAAACAGUACGUGAAAUUGUCAAAAGGGAAGCGUUUGACACCAGUGUUGUUUUUCCGAAAAUCAAUUACGAAAGUUGAUUUUGUGUUGUAUUGACCUUAUCAGCUUGCUUCACUCUUUUCGUCUUUCUUAAUGCACUUUCGGUUAACAAGUCAACAUCAAUUUCUUUUGUUGUAAAAGGUAUUCGGAAGGUGGCUUUCUUUUCGGAGAAAGUGUUUAUAGCCUAUACUUCUACAAUCGGAGAGAUGAGGUCUGCAGCGUAGAUCCUUCGGGUUAGAUACAUUUGUGCUAAGUACAGCUUUUCAUAGACAACUUGU